rnacentral:rRNA from 1 species
UACGUAGGGGGCAAGCGUUGUCCGGAUUUAUUGGGCGUAAAGCGCGUGUAGGCGGCCAUACAGGUCCGUUGUGAAAACUCGAGGCUUAACCUCGAGACGUCGAUGGAAACCGUAUGGCUAGAGUCCGGAAGAGGAGAGUGGAAUUCCUGGUGUAGCGGUGAAAUGCGCAGAUAUCAGGAAGAACACCGAUGGCGAAGGCAGGUCUCUGGGCCACUACUGACGCUGAGAAGCGAAAGCAUGGGGAGCGAACAGG